AGUGAACGCUGGCGGUAGGCCUAACACAUGCAAGUCGAACGGCAGCACAGUAAGAGCUUGCUCUUACGGGUGGCGAGUGGCGGACGGGUGAGGAAUACAUCGGAAUCUACUUUUUCGUGGGGGAUAACGUAGGGAAACUUACGCUAAUACCGCAUACGACCUACGGGUGAAAGCAGGGGAUCUUCGGACCUUGCGCGAUUGAAUGAGCCGAUGUCGGAUUAGCUAGUUGGCGGGGUAAAGGCCCACCAAGGCGACGAUCCGUAGCUGGUCUGAGAGGAUGAUCAGCCACACUGGAACUGAGACACGGUCCAGACUCCUACGGGAGGCAGCAGUGGGGAAUAUUGGACAAUGGGCGCAAGCCUGAUCCAGCCAUACCGCGUGGGUGAAGAAGGCCUUUGGGUUGUAAAGCCCUUUUGUCGGGAAAGAAAAGCAGCAGGUUAAUACCCCGCUGUUCUGACGGUACCCAAAGAAUAAGCACCGGCUAACUUCGUG
rnacentral:rRNA from 1 species